UACGGAGGGGGCAAGCGUUGUUCGGAAUUACUGGGCGUAAAGGGCGCGUAGGCGGCUUUCUAAGUCGAACGUGAAAUCCCUGGGCUCAACCCAGGAACUGCGUCCGAUACUGGAAGGCUUGAAUCCGGGAGAGGGAUGCGGAAUUCCAGGUGUAGCGGUGAAAUGCGUAGAUAUCUGGAGGAACACCGGUGGCGAAGGCGGCAUCCUGGACCGGCAUUGACGCUGAGGCGCGAAAGCCAGGGGAGCAAACGGG
rnacentral:rRNA from 1 species